GCAACAAGUUUUUUGCAUGAGCAGUGUAUUGAACGCCACCUGGUUUCCCCACGGACGUGUAGCCCAUGUCUGAUCACUCUGUGACACUUCUGUCCUUGAUGAGUCCUCCAUCACGCUGGGGCUGAGCAAAGCAUCAGACCAUGGCUGGGGAGGGAUCUGCAGCUCUGGCAGGUGACACGGGAGAAAUAGGAAAACAGGAGGGCUGAACACUGCUGUUUCCCUGCAUCUCCAGCCAGCAGCGGCUGUGGGCUUCUUCUGAGCUCGUGGACUUCCUCCUCCAAGGCACUUCCAGCAGCAGUUACCUAGAGGAAAGCACAAGGGCAGACUGAGCGUGUUUCUUCGGAUAGUUUUACAGCAUGCUGGUGGCCAGCAGGAUUGUUUGAAGGAGGAGAAACCUGCUUCAUGCAUCCCAUGUCCCUGCAUCUUCUGGAAGCUGGACAGGUUCCGCAGCUCUCGAGGCCCUCUCCAAGCAGGAGUCCUGGGCUGAUGGAAGUGGGCAGUGUCUUCUCCAGAAGCACCCAGCCAGCCCUGCGGAAGGUGUGUGUCUGUGAUCACGUGAGGGCUGCAGUGAUGCUCUCGUGUUUCAGAAGCUGAGCUACGUUUCAGAAAGGAGGGGAGCCAGCUAACAAAAGAAAUCCAGAGAAGAGCAAAAAGCGUUGUGUUUAUGAAGAACAAUUGAACAGGCCAGACAUCUCCAGCCUGUGAGGGAUACAGCAGAGGUCUAUAAAAUCAUGAGUGGCCUGGAAAAAAAUGAAUUGAUUGCUGCUCUUACCUGUUUCCAGAAAAAGCACUUUCAGAAGAAACCAAAGCUCCAGGAGCUCGUGUUCAAGAAGUGAAACGGAGCCAACAUCUGAUUAAGGCAGAUUCGGUCAGGUCAGGGAAAUGAGCUUCCCCAGGGACUUUCUACUGCUGCUGAAAGAGCUCAAGGUUUAAGACUCCUAUCUGCCCCACAGAAACAGAAAUGAUGGGAAUGUGGUUGCCACAGAUGAGAUGACCCAGCUACCUGGAAGAGAAACAACAGAGUCUCAGGAGAAUGUGGGCAGCAAGGGGUUUUCUUGAAGAUGCUCACAGCAGAGAACCCUCCAAGUAUGGAGUAAAAAGCCAGUUCUGUACUGUAAAGCAAUAGAUUCCAGCAGCCAAAGAGGGAAAAGAAAUGAUUGCCAACGUGCUUUCCCUCCAGCAAGCUGGAAAGUAAAUUUGAAACUGAGUGUGAACAGUAAGCAGCUCGUGUGGUGAGUCAGAGUGAGGUCUUGCAUUAGAAUUGAAAAGUCAUAGUGUACAUUUCUGCUCAUGAGUGAAACCUGGACUUCCUUUUCAGUGCCUUCUUAGGACAUGCCAGCCCUGUCAGCAGUCAUGGCCUGGUCUUAGAAAUGAAACUUAUUUUGUUAGGCCCUGCCUUGGGUCACUGCCCAUGGCGGCCUGUCUCUUUUGCAUCGUGCCAUCUUCACUUGUGGGAGCAAUGGGCUUGGUUUUGGAUCUCGUUCUAACCACUGUUUAUGCAGCCACCUCCUUGUGCCAAACCAAGCUGGACUCCAAGGCCACGUCUGUGCUCUCUGGAACAGCACUGGUGCAAUCUUGGUGAGUAACACUGCUUCCCAAGCCAGCUUGGCUGGAAAGCAGCUUCCCAGGCUUUUUUGUGCAGGCAGCCAGUUAAGAUGUUACCCAGAGCCUGCUGGACUAUUCCAGCUACCAGAUCUUACUGUAGACAGUCUACAGGAAGGUGAUUUCUAUGCUUUCUCUGUUCGUAGUUAUCCUAUAAAUACAUUGGUCUGGAUUAUCUAUGUUUUUUCAAGUCCUCUCAAGGCAUUACUGUACAAGUAGUAAAAGUUAUCAAAACUAACUAAAAAGCUUAACUUUGUUGACCUCUCCCACCCUUUGUGCUCCAACAGGGCACUUUUCCCCCUGUGUCCCC
ensembl:lncRNA